CCCAAUUCCAAAGAGAAAUCCCAAGGACAGUUUUACAAGCCCUUCAUUAGGACUAGCAACUGAUUAUAUCAUUCAAGGGACAUCAUAAAGCAUUAUCAACAGAGAGAUAUGACCAGUGUGAGGAUUGAAACCUCGAAAGCAUCUUAAAAGUUUUACAAUGCAAUCCGCUCUAACCUGGUUAUGAUAUCUCAUCAGUUAUUAGGCAUCUACUACAUUAGUGACUUGGAAAAAAAAGGGAAGUAACAAUGGAAAUUUCACAGCUAUAAGAUUAACUAAAUAAUAAGUGGUUCACAUAUUACCAUAUCAUAAAAUUGUUAACAAACAAAACUGCUCCGCACUUACCAUGUCCGCACUUACCAUGCCAAUGGAACUAGCUUGUCGCUUUCUGCAUUGCCCAUUUGCGUGAUCGAUCUUACAGUAGCAUAAGAGGUAAAAGAACAUGGCACUGCCAAACAAAAAUUUUAAAGACUAUGCCAAGAGCUCAUCGUCUGACUCAUCCUCCUCAACCACUGGCCCAGUGCCGAACAGUGUAUCGAGAAUCAUAUCUUCCCAUCUCCUCACUCCUCUCUCCAAAAUUACUGCCACGGACCAUGCUUCAGCUUAAUCUUAAUUUCCAGCAUUCUGGUCAUUAGCAUCUGGUAGAGAGGAGGUGAAAAGAAAUUAACAAGCUCUCGUUUUUAUAGGCCAUGUCAUGAGA
rnacentral:misc_RNA from 1 species